AACCAUUCUCACCUGCGGCUAGACCUGCGGAAGGAUCAUUACCGAGUUUACAACUCCCAAACCCAUGUGAACAUACCUAUCGUUGCUUCGGCGGAUCGCCCCGGGCGCCUUGCGUGCCCCGGAUCCAGGCGGCCGCCGGGGGACCUUAACUCUUGUUUUUACUGAGAAUCUUCUGAGUCGUUUUUACAAAUAAAUAAAAACUUUCAACAACGGAUCU
rnacentral:misc_RNA from 1 species